GUCCCGGUAAGGGCUCCCGCCAGAGCCUGCCGCACCUCUGCCUCUACUUCUUGUUUCCCAGGCAUGCGGGACGAGGAGGAGGUGCGCACUGAGAAGCCAGAGGUAUUGAAAUGUAGAAGAGGGCGUUAAGACCAGGAAGGAAGCUUUGCGCAGUGGCAGUAUUGUAGCCAAUGAGGUUUAUCCAAGGAGUGAUUAUUGCUAAAACUUUUCCCAAUACCCUGCCGUAACGACUUGCAAUACAGUCUGCACUGGCAAUUUUUGACAGUCUCUACGGCUACUGAUUUUUAAAU